UAAGGAAUAUUGGUCAAUGGACGGAAGUCUGAACCAGCCAUGCCGCGUGAAGGAUGAAGGCCCUCUGGGUUGUAAACUUCUUUUAUCUGGGACGAAAAAAGGGAAUUCAUUCUCACUUGACGGUACCAGAGGAAUAAGCACCGGCUAACUCCGUGCCAGCAGCCGCGGUAAUACGGAGGGUGCAAGCGUUAUCCGGAUUUACUGGGUUUAAAGGGUGCGUAGGUGGGCGAGUAAGUCAGUGGUGAAAUCUCCGGGCUUAACCCGGAAACUGCCAUUGAUACUAUUUGUCUUGAAUACUUUGGAGGUAAGCGGAAUAUGUCAUGUAGCGGUGAAAUGCUUAGAUAUGACAUAGAACACCAAUUGCGAAGGCAGCUUACUACACAGUGAUUGACACUGAGGCACGAAAGCGUGGGGAUCAAACAG
rnacentral:rRNA from 1 species